CCUGUUGGAGGAAGUGUGUCACUGUGGGGGCGGGCUCUGAGGUUUUCUAUGCUCAGGAAAAUGCCUAGUGUCUCAGUUGAUUUCCUGUUGCCUCAAAGCUGCAGCACUCUCAGCUCCAGCACCACAUCUGCCUGCAUGCCACAUGCUGCAUGAUGAUAAUGGACUGAACCUCUGAAACUAGGACAGACUUUGAAGCACGUCUCUACCUUCCCUGGUACACCCAGAACACACUUCAAGCUGCAAGUCAGUGGAGACCAGCUUCAGAGAACAGCGAGUCUUCCAAGGCUAUGCUACUUGUCCUCAGCUGCCUUCCGCAAGUGUUUCUGCUGGGACAGAACACAAGUGUCUGGGUGUGAUUGUGUAACCCAGCAGUGUGUGGGGGAGGGGAAUCCCACACACCCUUUCCCGAGUUCACUUCUAGAGAACAACAUGGUUCUCUGGACUCCGUAAGGUCCGGAGAGAGCUCUGUCGUGAUUCUGAGAUCUUGUGGUCCAUUCAUUCUAGAUGAAGCCUUGUAAGUGUCAGAGCCAAGUCAGCAAAGCAAGCUGAUGGCAGGUCUCUGGUGAUGAAGAAGACCUUAUGGGUUGUCUGUCUGGAUGACACAGAUGGUGUGCUGACUCACUAAAGGGAGUUGUGGUGUGCGGGAGGCAGAGUACGCACCUGUGUGUAUGUGUUGUAAGGGAUGCACCUGUGUGCAUGUGUUAGCAGAUGUACUCAAUAUAAGCAGGUAUUGAGAUGAGGAGUGCCAUGCUGUGCUGGAUAACCACAGAGAGGGACUGGGAAACUUCCUACCUCAGGGAUGGGGCAUUGGCAGCCAGCUGUUUUACAGGUGAUGAAAACUGAAGGGUGGGAUAGUACUCCAGGCAGAAGCCUUCAAAGGCUGAGAUAGAGAGGGCAGAGAGAAUAACCCUGGGGAGUGGCCCAAGCUGGGGAGGGCAGGAACAGGACAGUUCUUACAGUGUCUCUCAUGACUAUGUCUUAAGGUGCCAGGUAUAGGGUUUAGAUGAUGUAGUGAGUGAUAUGACAAUCAGAACAAAAAUAAGCAACACGCCAGGUGUUGGUGGCGCAUACCUUUAAUCCCAACACGUGGGAGGCAGAGGCAGGCGGAUCUGGGUGAGUUUGAGACCAGCCUGGUCUACAAGAGCUAGUUCCAGGACAGCCUCCAAAGCCACAGAGAAACCCUGUCUGGAAACGUACCCCCCGCCCCAAAAAAAAAUAAGCAACAUGAACUCUACCCUAAGUGCAGUGGAUAGCAAAGGUCUUUCUGAUGGCUUAUCACCAAGACACUGGGGUUUUGUUUGAUUGGUCCUUAUUCUGAAACACGGCUUCUUCUCUGUGCAAUGGAAGCAGGCCUUGAACUCAUACCCAUCCUCCUUCAUCCUUCUUAGUCUAGGACCGCAGGUGUGCCACACCAUACCUUCCUUAGGAUGCCAGUUCUCUCUCUUGAUUU
rnacentral:lncRNA from 1 species